ACUCCUGUUUUUUCCAUUCUAGUCAAAGCGAGACUAAUGUACACUGGAUGGUGGCACACAAAUCUUUAAGACUCUUGAGGGGACAGAGUUGACCAGAGAGAUGACUGUGAUGAUUAGCAGGAAGGUGAUUCCAGGAGAUUACAGUGCAAUGCUUCACAAGAACGCAACGGAGCUCAACUGAUCAAAUUGAAAAAAAUCAAAUCUCCGGCUAUGCUAGAAGACCAAUCACCAAAUCCAGGUUAUUUUGCAGAGAGAAAGCUAUUACAAGGAGAUCAGGAAGAAGAUUCCUGUUACACCAGUUUCAGCAGAACUCCCCAUCAACAAUAUCGGAUCAUCCUCAUCGUCUGAUCAGUUUCAUCAUCCUCCACCAUCUUCCAAAUGAUGCCUCAUCUCCCUGGCCUGCCUUCAGCUAGAAUCCCCAUUGACCCUGAUGUUCCUUUUAGUAAUUCUCCAACUACUGCCCUUGCCUUGCUCUUUGUCUAGAAAGGGUCACACGCAUAGGCUUGGGUUCCACCUCUCUCUCCCACUGCAACACCUCAUAGGACUCCACACCUAUAGUGAUGGCCUCCUCUUGAUUACAGUCUUCUUUACCUCUUUUAACAUCAUGGGUUAUAUUCUGAAGCAGUAAAAAGCAAUUCAAUUAGUCAUUUAUGAGCCAAAGAGUGGGCAUUUGCAUGGUUUCUGUGUUAUGAUCUUUUCAUAAAGAAAGAAUGGGGAAUGCAUGGAUGUUGUCCAUGUCCUAUAGGAAAAGGGAGGGUUUUAUUGCAAGUUUGGGAUUCCUUUAAACUUCCUUGUUUUCUAGGAGCAGAAGCAGAGGAGUCACAUAAAUUCAACUUGUCAUGGAAUAGCUCCUUCUCUAACAACAAGCCUUGAGAUAAGAAAGCAAUAGUCAUUGUACAAAUAAGUUAAUUUUGUUGGGGUUUAUGUAAAUCUAUGGAAGGUCUUUAUAAAGCCUAAAAUGCAAAAGUUAAUUAUAGUCCUAAUAUAAACUAAAUAUCAAUUAGUGAUUGUCAUUGACUGGAAACAGUAUUAACCAUAUUGAAUAUAUUAUUAUCUAACUUUUUUGUCACAAUUUUACAAAGACAGUAUUAAUAUAUCCAUUUUACAGAAUAAAAUACAGAAGCAAAAAGAAGCCAUAAGGCAGAUGCCUAAAGCCACAGUUUAAACAUCAGACUAAAUUCUUAUUGUUGAAAAGGUGCCUUUUUUUGGCUCUGAAAUAUAAGAAAAAACAAAGUGUUUUUUCUACUCUGACUCACCAUUUAAAAUAACACUUCCGACAUCUGAUGUGGAAAAGUACUUCCCCAGUUCCCAAUAAUUUUCUAGAAAAUGCCUGCUGGGAGUCCUAUUGCUAUAGCUAUAGAGACAGAUAUGUAUCCAAGAAAGAGGUGGAGGAAAUACCAUUCCUGCUAGGGUUGCCGCUCAAACUCAUCCCAUGAAUGGCAACUUGAAAUUGCUAUUAUAGCAAAGCUGCUGCCCAGAAAUAGCACCAGCCAAAAAUAUCAACAUGGCUAUUUACUGUGUCGCACUGACAACUUAUAGCCUAUUAUAAUUCCAUUAUAAUAAAAUUACCAUGGCUGACACUCCCACUCCCAUUGUGCCAUGAAUGCCAUGAAAAUUCCAAGACUUCUUAUAAAGGCCAGAAAAUGUCCAGUCAGCAAAUUCCUGGAAAUGUUUGUCCAUUCCUGAAAGGGUUUACUCCCUCCUAAGUGUGUACUUUCACUUUGCUAGUAAAUCUAAUUCCUCUGCUAAGCUUUAUCUAUGUCUUGUCCUUGAGUUCUUUCAUAUGUCAGAGAUAAGAACAUGAACCUCUUAAAUUCUGAACAUUGUAACACCUCUUUUUUAAAUUUAUAUAAGUUGAACAAAUUUCAUGUAGUUCAUAGUGGUAUGAAAUACAUAGUGAUACUUCCACUCUAUAACUCCUCUUAAUUCCAACACUCUAAGACAGAGUCAAAUCCCAAAGGUUGAAGGUUCAGUUCCACAAGACCGCUCCCUCCCCAUUUCAGAUGCCAAUCAUAAGUAAUAGAUCAUCAGCUAUACUCUGACCAGCCAGCUAUAUCAGGGGUCUUUCUGCCUUCCCCUUGGGUUCAAUUAAUUUUCUAUCAGUCACAGAGAUCAGGGAAAUACUUUGCUUACAUGUAGCAGUUGAAUGAUAGGGAAGGUAAGAAAGAAUAAAAAAGCCAGAUAAGCUACACAAUGUGAGGUCUAGAAAAGUCCUAAGCACAGAAAUUUCUGUCCUUGUGAAGUUGAGAUGACCAUUGUCCCAGCACAAGGAUAUGUUUGACAAUUGGGAAGCUCUCUGAACCCUUAAAUUUGGAGAACUUUAUGGAGGUUUUAUUUAUUUCCAGUGUCUCUUCCAUCUCUGGAGAAUAGGAGCGGGAUAACUGAAUGACCUACUCUUGUAAUCAUGGUUAUCUCGUUCUGGUGACCAGACCUUAGUCAAGAGCCCACUAUGAGUUGUUUCAUUAGGAAAAAAAAAAAAGGUGUCCAGUAAAUUCCAAAGGAUUUAGGAACUCUGGGUCAAGAACUGGGGUCAAAGGCCAAGUAUUACAGCAAAGUGAUUUUCCUAGUGCCCCCAUCUAGUAGGGUAUUAGGAAUUGUGACUCAGGAGAUUGGGCCAGAAUAAAAUAUUGGGAUCAAAGAUUCUUCUAGCACCCCUAUCACUCAGAAAACUACAAAGGUGUUAGGUGAUCUGUGCUCAGGGCUGGAACCAGAGACCAAGAUAUAUGUAUUUCCUAUUACUAUCUCACACUGGCAGUCAAGCUACGUCAAACAUUACAUUGACCUGUUAGUGAAACUGAACCCCUAUACAUGGCCUUGAAUGCAAAUGUUGGAUACCACCAGGCCCCUGCCUCUCAGCCUCUCUCCCUUAGUGUAAGGUGUCUUUGUCCUGUGUUGUGUGUGCAUGUGUGUGUUGUUGUUGUUGUUGUUUUAACCUUUUUUUAAUUGCAAGUUGGCCUCUUACUAAAUUUAACUUACUGAAUUGAGGGAGUACUGCAGCCAUCACUGGACUCAUGUGGUCAUUUUUUUCUCCAAUGAUUACCAACUCGAUGGCUGGUAUGGUCUCAAAGGGUAUCUUCUCAGGGAAAUUCCAGGCCCAUGGCAGGAAGUAAUUACCAUCUGCAUGUUGUCCUCAGAAUGGCUAAAGCCCAAACACUGCAGACCAACCAGAAACUUAGGUAUGAGCUGAACAUCCAUUCUCAAGACCCAACUUAAAUCUAUAAGAAGCUUUGUCCUUCUCCCCACAAGGAGCCUGCAACUUGAGCUACAGCAGCCUGGCUCCUAGUUAUGAACAUUGCAAUAAGUACCUCCUUUCUCCUAGCAUCUCAAUGCCAGUGAUUUGGCUUUCUGCAUGUGGGGCAGACAUCUCCAGUCUGGGGGUUCUACAGUAACUCCUCCAACCACUUAUUGAGACCGUUCCUUACUAUUACCAAUUCCUUGACAAGUUGAGGCAUGUGGCACACUCACAUGCUUUGUGAUCAAUCUAGCAGGAAGAACUGAGACUCUGACUAUAUUUCAUAUAGAGGAGGUUAAAAAUGUUUUCCUCUACUUCAGUGGUUAUGGCUUACAAAUCACAUGUAAUAUGAGACAGGUAAUAAGAAAAAUGAGUUUUAGGUAUAUAUGCACACACAAGAGUUCACAAAGAAUGUCCUUCUAGGCGGUGGCCACGUGACUGAGGUUUCUAGAUAGUCUUGGACUAAGAAAAGGAAAAGGUGUGGGUCCUCUGAGUGGGAAAAUCAAGUUUGGGAAAAGGAAGGCAGGAAAUGAGCAGUAGAGUUGUCUCGUUAGUCAAGCCAGAAGCUUUGUGGGGCAAGUUACCUCUGGCAGUAGCUCUCUUCUUAGCGUGGCAAUCUCUUUACAAAUGAAGUUUAUGGGGUCCAGAAAGCUAAGUUAUUAUCUGGGUUGAGUAGUCAUUGUAUUUCUGGAAAAGGGGUGGGGGGCAACUUCCAGAACUAAGGAUCCACCUCUUUUUCUCCCCUUAUGUGGUCAUUUCUGUAGGUUGUCAUGGCAAUUGUAACCUGUGAUGGCAGGAGGGGGAGAGGUUUUUACUCUGUUAAUGCAUCACAAUGAGGGUAUAAUGGGACUGGAGGAAAGGUAGUGCAUAAUCUGGACACCAUUUUGGAUUUAACUGAUUUGAACCAGUUCUGUUACCUUAAUCUUGAUUUUGUUCAGCUUACAUCCUGGUGGAUGGAGCUGAGACUUUCCAUAUACUAUAUAUCAAAAAACACAGGGGCCGGCGCUGUGGCUCACUUUGUUAAUCCUCCGCCUGUGGCGCCAGCAUCCCAUGUGGGUGCCUGGUAUUUAUCUCCAAAUGGUAUCUCCAGAUGGUAUUUCUCUCCAAAUUAAAAACACUGUAUACUAAAAAUAUUAAUCUGUCAAGUAGGAGAGUUUUACAAUUUCAAAUAGAUCAAAAUUGUAUACCUACAACAAUUGGAAAUUAAACAAAAGUUGCAAUGUUGUUUUUAAAUGGGUGAAAUAUUUGAGUCCUAAUGAAUGUCAAUGCACACAGCACAAGAAUGAGAUCUAAGGGCCGGCGCCAUGGCUCACUUGACUAAUCCUCCGCCUGCGGCGCCGGCACCCUGGGUUCUAGUCCCGGUUGGGGCACUGGAUCCUGUCCCGGCUGCUCCUCUUCCAGUCCAGCUCUCUGCUGUGGCCCAAAAAGGCAGUGGAGGAUGGCCCAAGUGCUUGGGCUGCACCUGCAUGGGAGAUCAGGAGGAAGCACCUGGCUCCUGGCUUCGGAUAGGCGCAGCGCUGGCCAUAGCAGCCAUUUGGGGAGUGAACCAACAUAAGGAAGACCUUUCUCUCUGUCUCUCUCUUUCACUGUCUAUGACUCUACCUGUCAAAUAAUAUGUGUAUAUAUAUAUAUAUAUAUAUAAAUAUAUAUAUAUCUCAAAAUGGUUGCUUAUCUUGGAAAAUUAUCACACUCAUUAACGGCUAAUAAAAUAUCAGGAAUCAUAAUAAGAUCUUAUUAUAUUUUCAUUUAUAAAUGUCUAUGUCUGCGCUACAUUACAUAAACUGGAUUAGCAAAUUGCCAUGUAAAAUUUAGGUAUGGGUAGAAGCCGUGCAAUUUGCAUACCAAAUUAAGGUAUAAUGAGAAAGGAACAGAUGAUGACUGUUUUUCUGUUUUGAUUUUAAAUGUUUGCAAAUGUGUGAGUCUAUGUUGCUACUUAUUUGUAUGUAUUUUCAACAUAUUUAAACUAAGAACUACAUUAUCAUGUGAAGAUAUCUAGUGAAGGGAACAACAGACUGACUUCUAAAAAUGCCAUCCUGUUUAUACAGUGUAAAUAUUCAACAUGGGUUAUUUUGGUCAAAACAGUUGUAUUUUAGAAAACACAGCAUUGCAAUCCUCUUUACCCUGAUCUUCGACUUUAUUCUUUUUAUUCACUUCUAUCGUUCUAACUUAGUGUAACCAUUCAUCCAGUUAAAUAAAUUGUCAAAUCUCUGCUAUAGGGCAGCCCCUGUGUUGUUUCCUAGAAAAUGUUACAAAAAAGAAAGAACAUUGCACUCUUAUUUAUUGGACAUUCAAUAUAUUCUAAUGAAUGUAAAUUAUAGAUGGAUAGAUGGAGGGAUGGAUGGAUGAGUGGAAGCAUCAAGCAAAUGUGUUUUUUAUGACAUCUAAUAUACAGCACUGCAUUCAGUUUUGCUAGUCAUGACAGCAAUGUCAUCUAUCUCCUACAGAUCUCUGAAUUCCCGUUAGAGGUCUCACCCUUUGCACAAAGCUUUCAAAGCUCCUACAAAUUACAACCCCACAAUAAUAUGUUACAUAAUCACUCACUUAUCCAGAGUCUCCUUUUUUUAUUCUUUAGGCCUUUAUCAAAUAACCACUCUGUUCCUAGAAUUUCUCUAGGCCUUUGGGUCCAUGUCAUUAUGGAUUAAGAACUCAAUGAAAAAUAGACUUUGGGCAAAUAAUUUGAAACGUAAAGACUAUUUAAAGUUUACAGACUGGCCGGCACCCUGGCUCAACAGGCUAAUCCUCCACCUAACGGUGCCGGCACGCUGGGUUCUAGUCCCAGUGGGGGCGCCGGAUUCUUUCCCGGUUGCCCCUCUUCCAGGCCAGCUCUCUAUUAUGGCCCGGGAGUGCAGUGGAGGAUGACCCAAGUGCUUGGGCCCUGCACCCCAUGGGAGACCAGGAGAAGCACCUGGCUCCUGCCUUUGGAUCAGCGCGGUGUGCCAGCCACAGCGCACCAGCCGCGGCAGCCAUUGGAGGGUGAACCAAUGGCAAAAAGGAAGACCUUUCUCUCUGUCUCUCUUUCUCACUGUCCACUCUGCCUGUCAAAAACAAAAAGUUUAUAGACUAUAAAAGUUCAAGUAAUUUUGAGGACAAAAUAUAAAAAAGACCUGAAAAACUGAAGUUAGCUAGAAGUACAUAGGAUUAUGGGUAGGUGUCAGGUUAGCGUGAAAAGAUGUUUCCCAAGAACACCAAAUAGGAGAAACUUAAAAAGGCAAGAUAUAAAGAAGGCUUGUGUGUGCUUGGUAUUGUGAACAAUGGCUAAGGCAAAGGGUUCAAGAAAAGUUUAGACAAAUAGGUUAAGCUUAGGUGACACAAAGCUUAGCUCUACCACCUCCUCCAACAUGGAACUCCACACAAGUUCCAUGAAGAAAGGAGUCUUGCCUGCUUAGGUUAAUUCUGCAUCACCCUUUCCUAGUACAGCGUCUGACAAGUUGCAAGUUUCCCAUGGACAUUGUCAAGUGAGGAAUAAAAUACUUUUAAUAUUGUUGGAACUGAACAAUACUUAGAUUGAAAUCUUUCAUUCUGACAGACAUACUCAUAUUUUUAGGUAUAGGCAUAUAUAGCUAUAAAGAUCGAUUUUGACAUCUAAUUUCUGUUUUGGUUCAGUCUCCUACUUGUA